AGAGUUUGAUCCUGGCUCAGAUUGAACGCUGGCGGAAUGCUUUACACAUGCAAGUCGAACGGCAGCACGGGAGCUUGCUCCUGGUGGCGAGUGGCGAACGGGUGAGUAAUGCGUCGGAACGUACCGAGUAAUGGGGGAUAACGCAGCGAAAGCUGUGCUAAUACCGCAUACGCCCUGAGGGGGAAAGUGGGGGAUCGCAAGACCUCACGUUAUUCGAGCGGCCGACGUCUGAUUAGCUAGUUGGUGGGGUAAUGGCCUACCAAGGCGACGAUCAGUAGCGGGUCUGAGAGGAUGAUCCGCCACACUGGAACUGAGACACGGUCCAGACUCCUACGGGAGGCAGCAGUGGGGAAUUUUGGACAAUGGGGGCAACCCUGAUCCAGCCAUUCCGCGUGAGUGAAGAAGGCCUUCGGGUUGUAAAGCUCUUUCAGCUGGAACGAAACGGUACGCUCUAACAUAGCGUGCUAAUGACGGUACCGGCAGGAGAAGCACCGGCUAACUACGUGCCAGCAGCCGCGGUAAUACGUAGGGUGCGAGCGUUAAUCGGAAUUACUGGGCGUAAAGCGUGCGCAGGCGGAUUGUUAAGCAAGAUGUGAAAUCCCCGGGCUUAACCCGGGAAUGGCAUUUUGAACUGGCAGUCUAGAGUGCGUCAGAGGGGGGUGGAAUUCCACGUGUAGCAGUGAAAUGCGUAGAGAUGUGGAGGAACACCAAUGGCGAAGGCAGCCCCCUGGGAUGACACUGACGCUCAUGUACGAAAGCGUGGGUAGCAAACAGGAUUAGAUACCCUGGUAGUCG
rnacentral:rRNA from 1 species